rnacentral:rRNA from 1 species
GACGAACGCGGCGGCGUGCUUAACACAUGCAAGUCGAACGGUAAGGCGCUUUCGGGCGUCACGAGUGGCGAACGGGUGAGUAACACGUGAGGAACGUGCCCUUGACUUUGGUAUAGCACUUGGAAACAGGUGGUAAUCCCGAAUAUUCAGUUUCCCGGGCAUCCGGGUUGUUGGAAAGCUUUUAGCGGUCAGGGAUCGUCUCGCGGCCUAUCAGCUUGUUGGUGGGGUAGUGGCCCACCAAGGCCUUGACGGGUAGCCGGCCUGAGAGGGCGACCGCCACAUUGGGACUGAGAUACGGCCCAGACUCUGCGGGAGGCAGCAGUGGGGAAUAUUGCACAAUGGGCGGAAGCCUGAUGCAGCAACGCCGCGUGCGGGAUGACG